AUUGCUACAAGUAUGUCUAAAAUGCUCUGAGGAAAUAACAUAUUUUUAAUUUGUCAGGUCAGCAAAAGCAGGCAGUAAGUAGAGGAAAAGUGAUCUUGUGAACUGGCAAGUUUUUCUUCCUUCCUUCUCCCUCACAAUUGUUUGUGUUGGGGUACCCCAGGAGUAUUCCCUUUGAUCACACAAUGGAUGAAGCAACAGCUAGAAGUAUUCUUCGAAGAAAUGAAGAUUUGACCAGAACGGGGGCUCUGAUGACCACACUAGGACCUUCCGAAAGAUUGAAAGCGAGCUGCUGAUCAGUGACUCAUAUUGGUUGAGAAAUGCGAUGUUGUUCACUAGCAAUGUAACGUGCAAAGUGAUGCACUGUAUUUCGAUGACUCUGCAGGUGAUCUGCCCAAGCUCUGGAAAAUUUUCCUUCUCCUUCAAGAUUGUUUUCAGCAAUAAUAACUUGGAGACAGAUCAACAACGCUGGUUCAUAGUCCCAGUUCUGCCUCCUACAGUUUGUGAGACUUCGGGGAAGUUACCCAUACUUUCAUCACUUGGUUUCUUCAUCUACAAUAAAGAUAAGAGUACAU